rnacentral:misc_RNA from 1 species
GUGUGGUUUAAGAGGAGGGGGCUGGAAAAAAAAAAAAAAAACCCAUCCGACUUCUUCUCCCGCUGAGUUCCUAGAGACCAUUGAAAUCCCCAAUUCCUUUCCCUCUUACCAAUUCCUCUUCCUUCGCUGCAAACUCAAAUCUCCAUCUCGGAGCAGGCCUGAAGCUACCUUGCGGCUGCAACUAUUCAACUUGGGGUUCGAAGAAUUUAAGGUGCUUUUGCGAGGGUAAAUGGGGAAAUGAGGUGUCAACCUCAAUGAAUCUAGAUAUUUGCUCUUGUUCUUUUGACUUAGGGAGCUUAGAACAAUUGUUUUUGUUUGAUGGGUUGAAGAAAUUUCUUUCAAAUCUUGGGCAUUUCUUUAGCACUCGGUUUGGGUCUUAGUUCUACUAGAUUGAAUAGUGAGAAAUUUGGUUGAUAAUUUUCCUCUUUGAAUUCAUGUGCUGCAACUUUUUUUUUAAUAAAAAAAAUGUUGGUUUGCUCAUCUAUAAUCUAUUGUUGUGAAAAACUGAAUGGGUUUGUACUAGUUUAGCAAUCUGAAUCUGUUUUUAGUCAAAUUUCCUGUUCCUUCACACAAUUUACAGUCCUUAUUGGAGCUCACAUGUGUCUGUUGUGGUUUUUGUUGAUAUUUUAAUAUAUUUCAUAUGUUUGCUGGUUCGAUCUGCUAGUUUUCUUGGUGGGAUGUCAACUCCUUGUUUAAUUCUUUGGGACUGUUUUGUGCAGUUGGGGUAGUGAUUACACGCUUCUUGCAUUUCUUUCAUUUUUUGUUCAGCCUAAAUUUCGGUUAUUCAGUUUUUGUCAAGAUUCGAACGGUGGAUAUCAAUUAAACAUGUUUUAGGUGGAGUACUAAGUAGGAGGUCCGAUUAAAUUUCUAACUGAAUGCAGCUCUUUUAAUUAUGAAAUUGCAGUUGUUUCCCUUGAUUACUUUCAUUGGUCUUUGCUUGUGUUUAUUGUUUCUAGACUUCACCCACUUUAGUAUGGCCUGUCCAAGAUUUGAGUUUGGAUUGAAUUUAUGAACAAAUUGAAUUAUUUUUAAUGGUAGGUUUGUCUCCUUUUAUGGUGCUUAUCUAUUUGUCUGUACUACAUAAAUUUGAAAAUUUGCCUACUUCUUGUGACAGUUUUUAUGUUAUCUAUUGAUUGAUAAUAACCCAUUUAAAAUACUACAGCAAUCACAAUUUUGUGCAAUUACAUAUGUUUUGACAAUAAUGGCAAUUCUUUUGCUGUUAUCUACUUCAUGUGACAAUUACAUAUGUUUCAGCAACAAAAACAUGCUGCGCAAAUCAAUCAGUUAUUGCAAUUUUGUGCUGUAUGUGAAUUUCUUUUCUAAUGUUUUUAUUUUUUUUUUCCAGGUUCAAUAACUUGUUGAAGGUUAGUGAGAUUUAUGAAAAUGCUACAAUGUUCUUAAACAUUUUGCACUAGUAGGAUUGAGAGAAAGUGAGUUAUAGAAAAGUGGGCUCAUUUCAAGACCUUUAAUGAGCUAAAUACUGCUACAUAAAAGUGAAGGUGAAGUAUGAGGGAUUUGAAGUUCCCAAAACGUUACUUGAUUGUUAUUCUAACCUUCAUCAGCACUUGUGUUUGCUAUAUUGAACGAGUGGGUUUCUCUAUUGCGUAUACUGUUGCGGCUGAUGCUGCUGGUGUAAACCAAUCAAGUAAAGGCACUAUACUUUCGACAUUCUAUUAUGGUUACGCCUGCUCCCAGGUGCCUGGAGGAUGGGCAGCUCAGAGAAUAGGAGGAAGGAAGGUUCUUCUCCUCUCAUUUGUUUUAUGGUCAUCAACUUGUUUUUUGGUCCCACUAGAUCCUAAUCGAGUUGUAACCUUGGUAGUUGCUCGCUUGCUUGUUGGUGUUGCACAAGGGUUCAUCUUCCCCUCCAUUCAUACUGUUCUGGCACAGUGGGUCCCACCUCAUGAAAGGUCCAGAUCCGUAUCUCUUACAACUUCCGGAAUGUACCUAGGAGCAGCUAUGGGAAUGCUUGUCCUUCCAAGUUUAGUGAAAUACAAAGGCCCCCAGUCUGUAUUUCUUGCUGAAGCAGCAUUAGGUGUUUUGUGGUCUUUGCUAUGGUUCAAAUAUGCAAGUGAUCCUCCUCGCUCUGAGCAUCCAAAAGCUGCUGCUGCAGGGUUUGGAGAAUCUUUGCUGCCAAUUAAAGUCAGUCAAAAGAUAAAAGUGGAGAAUGGAGGCAGUACUAUUAAAACCGCCAAAAUUCCAUGGAAGAGAAUUUUAGUUAGUUUACCGAUCUGGGCAAUUGUGGUAAAUAAUUUCACAUUCCAUUAUGCAUUGUAUGUGCUGAUGAACUGGCUGCCAACUUAUUUUGAACAGGGCCUUCAGCUUAGUCUUCAGGAAAUGGGUUCUUCUAAGAUGAUGCCUUAUCUUAACAUGUUUAUAUUCUCAAACAUUGGUGGGGUGGUUGCCGAUCACUUGAUCACAAAGAGAAUCUUAUCUGUGACCAGAACACGGAAGUUCUUAAACACCAUAGGAUUUUUUGUUUCUUCUCUUGCAUUGAUGGCACUUCCUAUUUUCAGAACUUCUACUGGGGCAGUUUUCUGUUCUUCUGUUGCUCUUGGCUUCUUGGCACUUGGGAGGGCUGGGUUUGCAGUGAAUCACAUGGAUAUUGCUCCAAGAUAUGCAGGAAUAGUCAUGGGAGUUUCUAAUACUGCUGGUACUUUAGCUGGGAUUAUUGGUGUUGAUCUUACUGGCCGGCUUCUUGAAGCUUCUAAAACUACUUAUUCAGACCUUUCGAGUGCAGAAAGUUGGAGAUCAGUGUUUGUCAUACCUGGGUUGCUAUGCAUUUUUAGUUCUUUCAUGUUUUUGCUAUUCUCAACUGGAGAGAGGAUUUUUGAUUAGGCAGACUUUUUUCUCAUAAUCUUUUGCAGAAGAUUAUUACCAUCUGAUGGUGAAUUGAAUAUUUGAAUUUCUACUUGAGAAUCUUCUGAUUCUUGACAUCUGCAUUGAGAGGGUGAAAGUUUAUGAGGCUAUGAAUAUUGGAAGUGGUUGGAAUACAGUGGACAGCACUCAUUUUUUGAUUUGUGAGGGUAAAUUUACUUGAAGGCAAUGUACCCUUCUCUUUCAGUUUCAUACUAGGUUAGAUUCAAUUUUUUUUGGCAUAUAUUGUUCCUAAUUUGAUAAUUCUGAUUGCAAUCAACACUGAAUUCACCUAAAACCAUGUGGUUAUGGUGAUAUUAUUUUCACAAGCUGUGGCAACUAUUAUAUACCUCACUAUGUAUGAGACUAUGAGUACUUGUACCGUUAUGAGUUAACUAUGUACCACUUGUGGAAGUCAAUUGUAUUUCAUUUUUUAUGUUUACUA